CAGUAGCGUUUAUUAAAGUUGUUGCAGUUAAAAUGCUCGUAGUUGAAGUUCGGAUGCAGCAGAGCUUGGAAACGCUGUUAUGGUGCUUCCGUUGCUUUUGCUUGUCCACAGUGCGUUGCAAGUACGUAUGUGCUUGUGCGUGCAUUUUACUUUGAGAAACAUAGGGUGUUCCACGCAUGUUACGGCAUGAAUAUUCCAGCAUGGGAUAAUCUGGUACGACUUCCAAUCUGCCAUUUUGGUUCGUAGGUUGGAAGUAAUGAUUAAUAGGGACUGUCGGGGGCAUUGGUAUUUGACUGUCAGAGGUGAAAUUCUUAGAUUCGUUGAGGACCAACCACUGCGAAAGCAUUUGUCAAGGAUGUCUCCAUUAA
rnacentral:rRNA from 1 species